GGCGAGAGCUUUCCAUAAACACCAAGAACGCCGAAAUCCAUCGAGCGGUUUGUCCGAUUUUUGCUCGGGAAGAUUUUAGCCCAUUUCGACUUUUGGGCUAGAUUUCUCGAAAACCGUGAAUCCCACGAGAAAACCGAGGCUACCAGCGAGCUCCACUCGUCGAGAGCUUCGCAACGACAUAAAUUUUGAAUUUUUUCGACACCAUUUUUCGGUGGGUCCCACGAAACUUCGCAGUAUUUUUCCGAGCAUUAAAUGAGCUUAGAAAAUUCUGAAAAAUUUAUGUACUAACCCCCGUGUUAUGGGCUUCGUGUAGGUAUUCUCGAUUCGCGGAAAUUCGACAGUUGACCGGGUCUGCGAAAUUCCGGCCAGACAGACCCGUUACCGGAAAAGUCUCCGAAUUGGACCGAGGUUUUGGCUAGCCCCCCAUUGUCAGACGUCCCGAGCGCGUUCCCGAAGUCGGAAUCGGCAAAGGUGAGCCGGGACAGCCUUCUUCCUCCGCCCAGCCGCCACAGUGAUUGUCGUCAAGUCUGUGAGUAAAAUAUUAAUUUUAAUUGUAAUUUCGAUAUUAUUAUAUGUUCAGCAUGCCCAUGCAUCACUUAUAUGCAUAUAUUUAUGUAGUUAAACUCUAGGCACGAUUUAUGUUGCAUUCAUAACUGUUGAUGUGCCAUGGAUGUUGUUGUGGUAAUUUGGAGCAGUGUGCGUGCAUUGGCGUGCGUGUGAUGUGGUGUGGACUAUGGAUAGGACGGGGUAGUCACGGCUUGAGUAAUUCGCUGGGACCCGAUCCUUCGAGGGGUAGUCACGGCUUGAGUAAUUCACUGGGACCCUCGAUUUGGUUAUUAAGUGGAAGUCCGAGCUUGAGUAAUUCGCUAGCACCAGGUUGGAUUUAAGAGAGCUGUAUAGGGGAUCAGCUCCCAUAUGUUAUGAUUGAUACUACAGGGUGUGUGAGUGCUCCAAAUUACCUUUUUGAUGCUAUGAUGUGAAUUUAUUGCUGAUGUUGCACUUCAUUCCACAGGUUGCAUUAGUUUUAGAUAGUUAUAGAGAUUAUGGUUAAAAUUGAUAUUUUACUCUUUGAGUCGAACGCUCACUCCUGUUCAAAAAUUUUUACAGGCCACAGGAGGAUAUUUUUUGAGGUUAACCUGCUUUCUCCCUCGCAGGUCGAUUACUAUGUUUGUAUAAACUUGUUAAAUCUUAGAAUUUCCGCAUGUGUUAGAAAUGUUUAUUUGAUUUGGGUCUGUAAACUAAAUUAUUAUUUUUGGACCUGUAAACUUAAUAUUCUAUGCAUGUUGGAUGGAUUGGAUGAGGGAGCUGAGCUCCCAUUUAUUUUUA